rnacentral:tRNA from 1 species
GGCGCGGUAGUCAAGUAGUCAGACCAGAGCUUGCAGAGCUCUGCAUGUGGGUUCGAAUCCUACCUGCGCCUCC